rnacentral:rRNA from 1 species
AACGAACGCUGGCGGCAGGCUUAACACAUGCAAGUCGAACGGAUCCUUCGGGAUUAGUGGCAGACGGGUGAGUAACGCGUGGGAACGUACCCUUUGCUACGGAAUAACUCAGGGAAACUUGAGCUAAUACCGUAUGUGCCCUACGGGGGAAAGAUUUAUCGGCAAAGGAUCGGCCCGCGUUGGAUUAGCUAGUUGGUGGGGUAAUGGCCUACCAAGGCGACGAUCCAUAGCUGGUCUGAGAGGAUGAUCAGCCACACUGGGACUGAGACACGGCCCAGACUCCUACGGGAGGCAGCAGUGGGGAAUAUUGGACAAUGGGCGCAAGCCUGAUCCAGCCAUGCCGCGUGAGUGAUGAAGGUCUUAGGAUUGUAAAGCUCUUUCACCGGUGAAGGUAAUGACGGUAGCCGGAGAAGAAGCCCCGGCUAACUUCGUG